UGCAGGGCCGGCGCUUCCCGCGCUUUCCGUGUGUUCACCCGCUGGGCCAGUUCCGAGUUCGGCCCCCGUCCUCCGACCUAGAUGAGGACCUUCCCCCGCGGAUAAGAAAGCAAACGCUCUGUCAGUUUGGUUCUAUCUUUGCCUUAAUUUUCGCCAGCUGCGAAUCGUGUCGUAGGCCAUCUACUAGAGUCGUCUUAAUUUUCUGCGUCUUCCGGAAAAAAUGUAAAGUUCUGUGUUGGCUGGUUUUGCGCUUUAUUCACUGCUGUUCCCCCGGUUCCUAGCGCAAGGCCCGGUGCGUGCUGGGCUCUCCGUGCGUGUUUGCCGAGUAAAUGAAGUUAUUGGGAACAAUAAGGGAAAUACAUGGAAGGAAAAAAAAAAGGAAAAGAAAAAGUGUUUUACACCCAGCUCCGGACAAACUUUCACCCGAGAGUCCCCUCCCGCCUGCCCCGUGGAUCAUGUCCGGUCUUCGGAUGUGCGUCUCGAGGCCACUUCAAGCUGCUUCACUUGUUCCACAAACAGCUACUCUCCUGUGCUGGGAACGCAUGUGCCCCGGAUUCGCGGAGAUGAAUGAGGCAGGCGUGUUUGCUGUAUCCGGGGAGAGAUCUGUCCAAUCUAAUAAGUGGGGAAGGAACUCACGGUGAAGAGGAGGAGUUCAUGUCCUUGGGGAGCUCAUCACCCGGCAUGUACGAACAACUUCGAUGU